AGGAGCAGAUGCGCAAGGUCCCGGCGGCGGCGAGGAUGAGUCGCUAGGCCCAGGCGGGAGCGGCCCUGAACGGUGUGCUUUACCCUGGUUGCUCGCGCCGGGCCAGGCCUGCCAUCUCGACCUCUCUGUGAGUUUUUCCCCUGCAUUUACUUCAGGCUGCCGCCCUUCUCCAUAAGAUUGUAUCCACAAGUACCAGCGGAGUACCUGACACAUAGUAGACACAAAUCAGGCUGAAGAAUCACUAUGAGGGAGAACUGAGAAAUAAGACCAUUUGCAUCAACAGGAAUUUGAACUUUCCUACAGAUCAAUUUAUUGGACAUAAUCUGAUGACCUGGGAAUCUGGCGGCCUGGGAAAACUGCUCACUUAUCAAACAGGGGCUUCUAUUUUAAGAUUUGAUUAGAGACCUUCACUGUACUAUGUCUACAAAUCCUAAAUGAUUAUACCAAAACUUUUAUCCAAUCCUAAUCAGUUCUCUCUCUUGAAAGAUCUACCUUAAAUCACCUGGGCUCAGACCUCACCGUCUUAUAACCAUCUCAGUGCUGAUAGCCUUCUUUUGAGAUACUGCUAAAACUUUCUCAAGAUGGUGUUCUCCUUUAGUGCAGAAAUUCCAAAUAAAGUUGGUUUUGCUAUGUUAACAAGUUGUUGGGUGACAUUUUUGGAAGUUUAGCAAAAAUCUGUAUAAACAUCUUUGGAAAAAAUAAGGUUACCAUUUCUUAUAAUGUUUAGAUUUAAUAUGUUGA